rnacentral:rRNA from 1 species
UCAGGAUGAACGCUAGCUACAGGCUUAACACAUGCAAGUCGAGGGGCAGCAUGGUCUUAGCUUGCUAAGGCCGAUGGCGACCGGCGCACGGGUGAGUAACACGUAUCCAACCUGCCGUCUACUCUUGGACAGCCUUCUGAAAGGAAGAUUAAUACAAGAUGGCAUCAUGAGUCCGCAUGUUCACAUGAUUAAAGGUAUUCCGGUAGACGAUGGGGAUGCGUUCCAUUAGAUAGUAGGCGGGGUAACGGCCCACCUAGUCUUCGAUGGAUAGGGGUUCUGAGAGGAAGGUCCCCCACAUUGGAACUGAGACACGGUCCAAACUCCUACGGGAGGCAGCAGUGAGGAAUAUUGGUCAAUGGGCGAGAGCCUGAACCAGCCAAGUAGCGUGAAGGAUGACUGCCCUAUGGGUUGUAAACUUCUUUUAUAAAGGAAUAAAGUCGGGUAUGGAUACCCGUUUGCAUGUACUUUAUGAAUAAGGAUCGGCUAACUCCGUGCCAGCAGCCGCGGUAAUACGGAGGAUCCGAGCGUUAUCCGGAUUUAUUGGGUUUAAAGGGAGCGUAGAUGGAUGUUUAAGUCAGUUGUGAAAGUUUGCGGCUCAACCGUAAAAUUGCAGUUGAUACUGGAUAUCUUGAGUGCAGUUGAGGCAGGCGGAAUUCGUGGUGUAGCGGUGAAAUGCUUAGAUAUCACGAAGAACUCCGAUUGCGAAGGCAGCCUGCUAAGCUGCAACUGACAUUGAGGCUCGAAAGUGUGGGUAUCAAACAGGAUUAGAUACCCUGGUAGUCCACACGGUAAACGAUGAAUACUCGCUGUUUGCGAUAUACUGCAAGCGGCCAAGCGAAAGCGUUAAGUAUUCCACCUGGGGAGUACGCCGGCAACGGUGAAACUCAAAGGAAUUGACGGGGGCCCGCACAAGCGGAGGAACAUGUGGUUUAAUUCGAUGAUACGCGAGGAACCUUACCCGGGCUUAAAUUGCAGAUGAAUUACGGUGAAAGCCGUAAGCCGCAAGGCAUCUGUGAAGGUGCUGCAUGGUUGUCGUCAGCUCGUGCCGUGAGGUGUCGGCUUAAGUGCCAUAACGAGCGCAACCCUUGUUGUCAGUUACUAACAGGUUCCGCUGAGGACUCUGACAAGACUGCCAUCGUAAGAUGUGAGGAAGGUGGGGAUGGCGUCAAAUCAGCACGGCCCUUACGUCCGGGGCUACACACGUGUUACAAUGGGGGGUACAGAGGGCCGCUACCACGCGAGUGGAUGCCAAUCCCCAAAACCUCUCUCAGUUCGGACUGGAGUCUGCAACCCGACUCCACGAAGCUGGAUUCGCUAGUAAUCGCGCAUCAGCCACGGCGCGGUGAAUACGUUCCCGGGCCUUGUACACACCGCCCGUCAAGCCAUGGGAGCCGGGGGUACAAGAAGUGCGUAACCGCGAGGAG